rnacentral:lncRNA from 1 species
UCGAGCGACGACGACACAAUCACACAACACAGCCAGCGCUCUGAUGGAGAAGGGAAUUUGCAGGCUCGGCGCUUUUGGCCCAUGCGGCUUUCUGCGAUUCGGAGCUCUCACACACAGAUCGACCAGAGAGGCCUCACGAUAUUCCCUUCGCACGCUCCAGCUUCUAGUUAACCUAGACCGCAUCACGGCCAGGUGCAUUGCCAACUCCAUCCACGCGCUAAAGUCCACGUACAGGCGGUAUCGAGCAG